AACGAACGCUGGCGGCAUGCCUAACACAUGCAAGUCGAACGAGACCUUCGGGUCUAGUUGCGCACGGGUGCGUAACGCGUGGGAACCUGCCCUUAGGUUCGGAAUAACUCCCCGAAAGGGGUGCUAAUACCGGAUAAUGUCUUCGGACCAAAGAUUUAUCGCUUUUGGAUGGGCGCGCGUUGGAUUAGCUAGUUGGUAGGGUAAAAGCCUACCAAGGCGACGAUCCAUAGCUGGUCGGAGAGGAGGACCAGCCACACUGGGACUGAGGCACGGCCCAGACUCGGACGGAAGGCAGCAGUGGGGAAUAUUGGAGAAUGGGCGAAAGCCUGAUCCAGCAAUGCCGCGUGAGUGAUGAAGGCCUUAGGGUUGUAAAGCUCUUUUACACGGGAUGAUAAUGACAGUACCGGGAGAAUAAGCUCCGGCUAACUCCGUG
rnacentral:rRNA from 1 species